GAUGAACGCUGGCGGCGUGCCUAAUACAUGCAAGUCGAGCGAACAGACGAGGAGCUUGCUCCUCUGACGUUAGCGGCGGUCGGGUGAGUAACACGUGGAUAACCUACCUAUAAGACUGGGAUAACUUCGGGAAACCGGAGCUAAUACCGGAUAAUAUAUUGAACCGCAUGGUUCAAUAGUGAAAGACGGUUUUGCUGUCACUUAUAGAUGGAUCCGCGCCGCAUUAGCUAGUUGGUAAGGUAACGGCUUACCAAGGCAACGAUGCGUAGCCGACCUGAGAGGGUGAUCGGCCACACUGGAACUGAGACACGGUCCAGACUCCUACGGGAGGCAGCAGUAGGGAAUCUUCCGCAAAGGGCGAAAGCCUGACGGAGCAACGCCGCGUGAGUGAUGAAGGUCUUCGGAUCGUAAAACUCUGUUAUUAGGGAAGAACAAAUGUGUAAGUAACUAUGCACGUCUUGACGGUACCUAAUCAGAAAGCCACGGCUAACUACGUG
rnacentral:rRNA from 1 species